rnacentral:lncRNA from 1 species
CUUUCCUAGAACCCUGCCUGGGAGUGGCUUCCCUGAACUAAGGACAGAGACUUUGUCUUCGUUGCCUCUCGGCCUGUGGGCACUGAGCAUACAGUAGGUGCUCAGUAAAUGCUUGCAGGCCGAUGCCCAGAGCCAUUAGCCCUCAUCAUGAUGGACCCUGAAUCCGACACUAGCACCCGUGUGGAAGGAACGAGAGGGAGAUUUGGGGUCCGCAGAGGCAAACCACAGGAGGACGGAGUCGGAGACUGGAGCACCGCGGCCUUGAUCGGGGGACACCAGGGCUGCCGGCUGUGCCAGAAGGGGCUGAGGCUGGACCGGAUUCUCUCCGAGUUCCCAGAAGGAGCCAGUCCUGCCGACGCCUUGAUGCUGGACUCUGGCCUCCAGAAAUGUGCGAGGACAAACAUCUGCGGUUUCUAGGCCCCGCCUGUGGUCCUCUGUUGCAGCAGCCUGGACAGUCUGGACUGCCUGGACAGCAUGCAGAUGGGCUCUGCCCGCGGCUGCCCACGAGUUCCCACCGCCCGCCCGUCCGUGGGAGAGCCAGUCCUCGUAUGUGAAGCGUACCUGUAUCCCUUUACUCCGCGUACACAGGUGCCUUUGUCACUUCUCCUUUGACCUGGCUGGCACAUCUUACCGGUUUCUGCGCUAACAAUGAGUUGAAGGAAAUCUUGAACGCGCGUUCAUUUUAUAUCGGUAUCAGAGUCUGUUUAUUUCUUGUUGACACUAAUCUUUGAGCAUGAGUAGUUUAGUGAUUGUGAAACAGAAACUUCUGGAUACAAAAUCAGUCUCCUGGCUGUGACCCAAUCAUCUUCGCAGUUCUGAUUACCUGUGAUUAAGAAAAUAAAUAAGAACACCCAUUGGGGGAAGGCUUCCCUCCCCCGGGCACAGCAGCUUUAAAACCGAAAGGGAAGUGGGUGCUGUGAGCAGCUCUGUUCAGGCCUAAGGCCACGCAUGUGUGCCCCGUGGGGGAGACAUGCACCAGCGAAUCAGGAAACAGUGGUGACAGCCGUUCCGGGAGGCUGACUGGGGGUGCAGGGGUCACUUUUCUAAUGUGGGUGGGUCUGUGUCCCCUGCAGGAACGUGGCUGCAGCAAAGCCGGUCAGCCAGCGGUCAGCUCCAGCCCCUGUCCAGGCCCUGUGGGUCCUGCUGACCAGGCUGCGGUUGUUCCCAAACCAGUUCCCAGCCCCCGCUUGCCCUACUUCCUCUCACACCAGCUCCUUCCACCCCCUCACACCCACCUGCAGGCUCCCAGCCCAGGCUACUGACAUCAAUCAUGGCAAUCGCUAUUCCAGAGGUAUACGCGGUGGGUGGGGUCCGGUAUCGCCUGCCAUGCCUCACUCACCGGGCACCCAGAUAACCUGAGGCCAGGGAGCAGCCACUCGCCCUGACCCAUGCUCCCCGGGCCCCUGAGGCACCCAGGAGGACCACCCGGCCGCUUCUGCUCAGAGCCCAGCACCCCCGAGUCUGUGAAGAGGUCACAUCUGACCACGUUUCCAGGUGGCUGCCCAGGCGUGGGUUCAUGGCCGCUUCCGGUUUCCUCC